AGCAAGCAUGGGAUACGUGAUGAGGUGCGGAUGGUGAGCAAGAUGGAUCUUGGUGCAAUCUUAAAAUGAAUCCAAAUAUGUGAAACUGGAAUUCUCUGGAAAAUCUAGGCAGAGUGACAACAACAACAACAACAACAACAACAACAACAACAAAAGCGGCCAAGGGGAAUGGACAUACCAACAAAUAGACUGAGAGACUAUGAAGAAGUAUUAUCUGUUACCAUUUCACCAUUUUUCCACAAUGAGUUUAAAUUUUGCACCUGAACCAAGAACCAAGAAUAGCAAUGUGUCCUUUUCCUCUACAAAACUAUAUUUGGUCUAAUCUAUUCUCUGAAAGGAAGUAACCAUUGGAAAAUCAAAAUAAAAUUAAGGGACUUUAAAUUCAUUUGGGUUUCUCCUGAUUUCAGGAGCUGUACAGCAAGUAAAAGGAUAAGGAUAAUCCUAUAUAAUGUCAUUUCAGAGUGUGAUUUCAAGUACCAUUCUUCCAAAACGUCUUCCUCUGCUAAACUGCUAAUUCCCAAAUAUCUGUCAUUCAUUAACUCAAAAGACACCUGUGUCUACCAUGUGCCAGGCACUAGUAGUGGAAGAUGGUACAGGAGAAAGUACGGGAAAGGCGAAUGAAAAAAGGAUAUCACCAAGAGAAGAAAAGGUUCAGACAGGAGAAACAGAUUUUUCUGUUUCUCAAGUGUGAUGCUAAUGUCACUGUUAAUAUGUUUGAUUUAUAGCUCCAAUUAGCUAGUUCAGUAUAGGUGAUUGGAGCUUUUGACCAACUAGU
rnacentral:lncRNA from 1 species